rnacentral:rRNA from 1 species
UACGAAGGGGGCUAGCGUUGCUCGGAAUUACUGGGCGUAAAGCGUGCGCAGGCGGUUCGCCAAGUCAGGUGUGAAAUCCCCGGGCUUAACCUGGGAAUUGCGCUUGAAACUAGCGGGCUUGAGUGUGGGCAGAGGGGGGUGGAAUUCCACGUGUAGCAGUGAAAUGCGUAGAGAUGUGGAGGAACACCGAUGGCGAAGGCAGCCCCCUGGGUCAACACUGACGCUCAUGCACGAAAGCGUGGGGAGCAAACGGG